rnacentral:rRNA from 1 species
UCUGACUNGAGUGCAGAAGGGGAGAGUGGAAUUCCAUGUGUAGCGGUGAAAUGCGUAGAUAUAUGGAGGAACACCAGUGGCGAAAGCGGCUCUCUGGUCUGUCACUGACGCUGAGGCUCGAAAGCGUGGGUAGCGAACAGGAUUAGAUACCCUGGUAGUCCACGCCGUAAACGAUGAGUGCUAGGUGUUAGGCCCUUUCCGGGGCUUAGUGCCGGAGCUAACGCAAUAAGCACUCCGCCUGGGGAGUACGACCGCAAGGUUGAAACUCAAAGGAAUUGACGGGGGCCCGCACAAGCGGUGGAGCAUGUGGUUUAAUUCGAAGCAACGCGAAGAACCUUACCAGGUCUUGACAUCCCGAUGCUAUUCUUAGAGAUAGGAAGUUACUUCGGUACAUCGGAGACAGGUGGUGCAUGGUUGUCGUCAGCUCGUGUCGUGAGAUGUUGGGUUAAGUCCCGCAACGAGCGCAACCCUUAUUGUUAGUUGCCAUCAUUAAGUUGGGCACUCUAGCGAGACUGCCGGUAAUAAACCGGAGGAAGGUGGGGAUGACGUCAAAUCAUCAUGCCCCUUAUGACCUGGGCUACACACGUGCUACAAUGGUCGGUACAACGAGUUGCGAGCCGGUGACGGCAAGCUAAUCUCUGAAAGCCGAUCUCAGUUCGGAUUGGAGGCUGCAACUCGCCUCCGUGAAGUCGGAAUCGCUAGUAAUCGCGGAUCAGCACGCCGCAGUGAAUACGUUCCCGGGCCUUGUACACACCGCCCGUCNCACCACGAGAGUUUGUAACACCCGAAGNCGGUG